UCCAGAUAAAAUUAUUGCCUUAGAUGUGCUAGUCUUUCAUUGAGUUUGGGUUGCCUAGCUUUAGUUCUAGGCCAGUCUUUCAUUGAGUUUGGGUUGCCUAGCCUUAGUUCUUUAGUCAUGAAACUAACGUAUGUUUCCCUUUCUAUUGCAAAUCUGUUGUAGAAAACCAACAUGCCACUACAAGAAAGCAGGGCAAAGCCGAUGAUCGGGUGAACCCUUUGCCAGCGCUAACUUAAACCAGGCGCUGGCAAAGGAUCGCUACAAAAGCAAAAAUAAAAAACUAUCUCAUAUCAUUCAGACUUUUCCUCUCCCUGCCGCCGACUCUCUCUCUCUUUGCGCCUCUCUCUCCCCUCUUUCUCUCUCAUGGCUGCUUUGGGAUCUCUCUAUCCGCAACAACCUAUUAACCCAUCAGGCCAUACAUUCUUCUCAAUUUUCCAAGGAGCAAACCACCGGAGCCCUUUUGGCUUCAAGAUCAUCAUCCAUUGCCUUAGCCUUUUCCUUGAGAAUAGAGGUUUGUUGAUUUGCUGCAUUGGGGAUUGUGGCUCAUCGGAUACAGUGGUGACAAUUGACAGUAAUGGAAACACUUGAUGGGCCUGUUUUGUUAACAGUGAAAUUUUUUACUUAAUGCGGAAUCCGGAAAGCGCUCAAUGUUAAGUGUUGUUUGUUAAACAAUGAGAUUGGUGAGUUUGACAGAUUGAGAUGAUAAACAAUGAGAUUGUUUCAAGGAAGCGCUGAAAUCAGCCUCCUGUUGGAAGAAAGAUUCGGGGAAGUGGGUUUCUAUGUUUUUUAUUUAGAAUGGAUUAUUUAAAUUUGACUUUUACGAGUCGGGCUGCUGCUGCUCUCUCUCUCUCUCUCUCUCUCUCUUCUUGUCAAAGGGAAGGUUUAGCUAAAGAAGAGGACAGUGGAAAUUGCUGAAUUUUUUUAGCGACGCCCCAUUUUUCAGCGUUUGUCUAACCACCACAAUAACUUUCACCAGUGGCACAGAACAAACAUCUGCAUCCGGCAUUGAUUUCUACGAUGACUCAGAAAUUUUGGGACCUUCAUCAUUGUACACCAGCUCCCAACAUCAAUGGACAGUAAGCAACAUAGGUUUUAACAUCUCCAACCCCAAUGGCCCUCAAUACAUAGCAACGACAGAUUCUCAAAUCCUGGGGACUUUAGAGUUAGAACUAUAUAAAACAGCAAGGAUUUCACCAAACUCAUUAAGGUACUAUGGCCUUGGUUUAAAGAAUGGGAAAUACAUCAUCGAACUUCACUUUGUAGAGAGAGAGUCAUGGAUGAUUCAGUCUUGGAAAGGACUUGGGAGGCGCAUAUUCGAUGUCUACAUCCAGGGGGAGAAAGUAUUGCAAGAUUUUAAAAUCCAAGAUGAAGCCAAGGGCUCCAAAAGAGCUGUCAUAAAAAUGUUCAUGGAAAAUGUGACAGACACAGCCAUGGAGAUCCACUUCUUUUGGGCUGGAAAAGGGACCUGCUGCAUUCCAUUUCAAGCAACUUUCAGGCCACUAGUGUCAGCCAUACAUGUUUCUCUAGAGUCCUCUAGUGGUGGUUCGCCCUCGAAUAAUUAUAGAAGACGCACAGGAGAAGUUAUCGGUAUAGCUGUCGGAUGUGGAGGUGGACUACUGAUACUCGCAUCCAUUUUCUAUAUAUGGUGGAUGAAGGAUGCACCUAGCCAUAUGCGAGUGCGCACAGACUCACCAAGAAAAGGAUGAUGACCUUUUCUUUACAUUUUCAGCACUAUUGUAGUUGUAUUUGUACUUGAUUGAAUGAAGGAUUGUAAUUGAUUGAAUGA